ensembl:misc_RNA 7SK 7SK RNA
GAAUGUGAGGGUGACCUAGCUAUGACCCUGCCACCCCAUUGAUUGCCAGAGCCCAUUAGACUGAUGUGGUGGCCCGGUGUCUUCUUUCUCCCUCACCUCUGUCUACGUCAGCCUUCAAGUCUCAGGCUCAGACAACAGGAAUGACAUAACCCCGUUAAAGGAGCAUUCAUCCUCUGUAGGUCCAGGCAAUGUGAACACUGCUCAGUGAGGCUUCAAGAUGGGGCUUUUCUGUGA